rnacentral:lncRNA from 1 species
AUGGCAUCCUUAGUUCCCCCCACCGUCCCCGAGGCCAGUUUCUGUAUGCAGCGAGUGCAUCAGGAGCCAGCUCCGAUUUGGGGACUUGGCCACCACUGUCGCUGUCAGGUGGCUUGGCUGGAACCUGAUCUCACGGCUGGUUCCAGCACUGUCUCUCCACGUCACUUGCACUUAUGCCUUAUGAAACUGAUUCCUACUCUACCUCCACCCACUUCCUGUUCUGAUCCAAUACUAGCCAGGGUAUUUCAUUUUCUAGUUGUCUAAAUCAAAGUGGCAAGUAAUAUUUACUAAUAAUUGUAUCUUAUUUGCA